rnacentral:piRNA from 1 species
UGAAAGUGCACCGAUUAUUGGAGUCCGUG